GACCUCGGAUCAGGUAAGGAACCCCGAAA
rnacentral:rRNA from 1 species